rnacentral:rRNA from 1 species
GUGGGGAAUUUUGGACAAUGGGCGCAAGCCUGAUCCAGCCAUGCCGCGUGCAGGAUGAAGGCCUUCGGGUUGUAAACUGCUUUUGUACGGAACGAAAAGACUUCUUCUAAUACAGGAGGUCCAUGACGGUACCGUAAGAAUAAGCACCGGCUAACUACGUGCCAGCAGCCGCGGUAAUACGUAGGGUGCAAGCGUUAAUCGGAAUUACUGGGCGUAAAGCGUGCGCAGGCGGUUAUAUAAGACAGAUGUGAAAUCCCCGGGCUCAACCUGGGAACUGCAUUUGUGACUGUAUAGCUAGAGUACGGUAGAGGGGGAUGGAAUUCCGCGUGUAGCAGUGAAAUGCGUAGAUAUGCGGAGGAACACCGAUGGCGAAGGCAAUCCCCUGGACCUGUACUGACGCUCAUGCACGAAAGCGUGGGGAGCAAACAGGAUUAGAUACCCCUGUAGUCC